UGGGGCGGGCCUCCCCGCGCCCGUGGGAUGAGUCCGGCCCUGGCGGGCGAAGCGCCGCCGUCACCAUCCCCAGGAGACGACGGCGGGGUGCGCUAAGUGCUGAGUUUCCUGCAUUUCAACUGUUGCAGUGCAAAGAUGAAACAGAGGAUGCUGAUGUUGCUUUUAACACUACAAGACAUUUGUGAGCUCCAGUAAGGGUAGCACCACUGAUUCAGUGUACUGGAGACCAGGAAACCAUAAAGCCCAUUAAAACACAACUGGAACCAAGAGGGGAAGAAGGAGCCUAUCAUGUGUCCCAACAAAGACAACCCUGAAGGAAGAAAAGAGCACAUAAAGGCAUGGCGUGCCAGCCUAGGCAGGCUAAAGUAAGAGUGUUUCUGCAAUAGCUUUAGGCAAGCUGUGUUUGCAGAGUGCCUAGAUCACUGAGGUCAUGGUUACAGCCUGUAAAUGCUGUUAAAUCGCCAUUAAAACUCAGCUUUCCUCGG